GAUGAACGCUGGCGGCGUGCCUAAUACAUGCAAGUCGAGCGAACGGACGAGAAGCUUGCUUCUUUGAUGUUAGCGGCGGACGGGUGUGUAACACGUGUAUAACCUACCUAUAAGACUGGUAUCACUUCGGGAAACCGGAGCUAAUACCGUAGAAUAUUUUGAAGCGCAUGGUGCAAAAGUGAAAGACGGUCGUGCGGGCACGUAUAGAUGCAUCCGCGCUGCAUUAGCUAGUUGGUAAGGUAACGGCCUACCAAGGCAACUAUGCAUAGCCGACCUGGGAGGGUGAUCGGCCACACUGGAACUGGGACACGGUCCAGACUCCUACGGGAGGCAGCAGUAUGGAAUCUGCCGCAAUGGGCGAGAGCCUGGCGGAGCAACGCCACGUGAGUGAUGAAGGUCUUCCGAUCGUAAAACUCUGUUAUUAGGGAAGAACAUAUUUGUAAGUAACUGUACACAUCUUGACGGUACCUAAUCAGAAAGCCACGGCUAACUACGUG
rnacentral:rRNA from 1 species